GGAUUGUGGCUCAGCGGUAGAGCACUUGCCUAGCAUGGGUGGGGCGCUGGGUUCAAUCCUCAGCACCA
rnacentral:tRNA from 1 species